ACAACUGGUUGAAAGUCUCUCUCUGUCUCUACUGUUACUCCUGGCUGAGUGGGUCGGUGCUCUGCUAUGUCUCCAGAGUGACUUGUCAGGUUUGCAGCGAGGAAAGACAGUGGGAGAGAGGGGGGAGACAACUCUGGUAGCAGGCAGGCAGUAGUUACCAGCCUGCUGCCGGCUGGGUGUGUUAACUCCACAUCUGACCUCUAUGGGAACAGAGCAGCCUCCACUCCUCCCCUCUCCUUCUGGCAGGCUGUGGGAACGAGGGGGACAGAUCUUCAUUUUACCCUCUCUCUCUUUCUCUCUCUCUCUCUGCUUCUCGCCGGGCUGUCGAGCUCUGAGAAGCGGCCCUGGACAGAGCAGGUCACGACAUGGACAGACUGAGGAUUGCACCGCCGAUUGAUUCUUGGAUCUGAAAUGGUACAGUUGGCAGUCAGGCAAUCAUGCAGUUGACUCGUCAGUCAUUAGCCAGUCAGAUGGUUAGUUAGUCAGCCAGUAAAUCGGUCAGUGGUGUCCUCCCCAUUGGGUCAACUCUUCCACUUUGUGCAUAUCCUCAUCUGAACUCUUGAGGUGACUCAGACUUACGAAUAACAAAAACCGACCUGCAGUGGGCAUGGUACUCCACAGCUGCUGUGGACGAAGGCAUCUGGAGCCCAGGUGGAGGGUAGAGAAGAUACAGAGGGCGGAGAGGUUCAGGGUGGAUCCAUUCCAGCCUCUGCCACGGCUGUGGUGGGGAGGGUUCCUGGCACCGUGAUUUGAUGCACAAAGAGAAACAAAAAUCACAUUGCCAGGGAUUUCCACUCCUUCACAGCUCAGCAGGUGACCCGCCCGUGUUAUAUUUCCACAGUGGGAUGCUUUUGUGUGGUCUUCUUGGCUGUUCUGUAAUUAUCUGCACUGGAUGUUGCUAUGGAGUCAAAGGAAUAAAUACUGGAGAGGUUAAGACAGA